rnacentral:rRNA from 1 species
GUGUGACUGCGUACCUUUUGUAUAAUGGGUCAGCGACUUAUAUUCUGUAGCAAGGUUAACCGAAUAGGGGAGCCGAAGGGAAACCGAGUCUUAACUGGGCGUUAAGUUGCAGGGUAUAGACCCGAAACCCGGUGAUCUAGCCAUGGGCAGGUUGAAGGUUGGGUAACACUAACUGGAGGACCGAACCGACUAAUGUUGAAAAAUUAGCGGAUGACUUGUGGCUGGGGGUGAAAGGCCAAUCAAACCGGGAGAUAGCUGGUUCUCCCCGAAAGCUAUUUAGGUAGCGCCUCGUGAAUUCAUCUCCGGGGGUAGAGCACUGUUUCGGCAAGGGGGUCAUCCCGACUUACCAACCCGAUGCAAACUGCGAAUACCGGAGAAUGUUAUCACGGGAGACACACGGCGGGUGCUAACGUCCGUCGUGAAGAGGGAAACAACCCAGACCGCCAGCUAAGGUCCCAAAGUCAUGGUUAAGUGGGAAACGAUGUGGGAAGGCCCAGACAGCCAGGAUGUUGGCUUAGAAGCAGCCAUCAUUUAAAGAAAGCGUAAUAGCUCACUGGUCGAGUCGGCCUGCGCGGAAGAUGUAACGGGGCUAAACCAUGCACCGAAGCUGCGGCAGCGACGCUUAUGCGUUGUUGGGUAGGGGAGCGUUCUGUAAGCCUGUGAAGGUGUGCUGUGAGGCAUGCUGGAGGUAUCAGAAGUGCGAAUGCUGACAUAAGUAACGAUAAAGCGGGUGAAAAGCCCGCUCGCCGGAAGACCAAGGGUUCCUGUCCAACGUUAAUCGGGGCAGGGUGAGUCGACCCCUAAGGCGAGGCCGAAAGGCGUAGUCGAUGGGAAACAGGUUAAUAUUCCUGUACUUGGUGUUACUGCGAAGGGGGGACGGAGAAGGCUAUGUUGGCCGGGCGACGGUUGUCCCGGUUUAAGCGUGUAGGCUGGUUUUCCAGGCAAAUCCGGAAAAUCAAGGCUGAGGCGUGAUGACGAGGCACUACGGUGCUGAAGCAACAAAUGCCCUGCUUCCAGGAAAAGCCUCUAAGCAUCAGGUAACAUCAAAUCGUACCCCAAACCGACACAGGUGGUCAGGUAGAGAAUACCAAGGCGCUUGAGAGAACUCGGGUGAAGGAACUAGGCAAAAUGGUGCCGUAACUUCGGGAGAAGGCACGCUGAUAUGUAGGUGAAGUCCCUCGCGGAUGGAGCUGAAAUCAGUCGAAGAUACCAGCUGGCUGCAACUGUUUAUUAAAAACACAGCACUGUGCAAACACGAAAGUGGACGUAUACGGUGUGACGCCUGCCCGGUGCCGGAAGGUUAAUUGAUGGGGUCAGCGCAAGCGAAGCUCUUGAUCGAAGCCCCGGUAAACGGCGGCCGUAACUAUAACGGUCCUAAGGUAGCGAAAUUCCUUGUCGGGUAAGUUCCGACCUGCACGAAUGGCGUAAUGAUGGCCAGGCUGUCUCCACCCGAGACUCAGUGAAAUUGAACUCGCUGUGAAGAUGCAGUGUACCCGCGGCAAGACGGAAAGACCCCGUGAACCUUUACUAUAGCUUGACACUGAACAUUGAGCCUUGAUGUGUAGGAUAGGUGGGAGGCUUUGAAGUGUGGACGCCAGUCUGCAUGGAGCCGACCUUGAAAUACCACCCUUUAAUGUUUGAUGUUCUAACGUUGACCCGUAAUCCGGGUUGCGGACAGUGUCUGGUGGGUAGUUUGACUGGGGCGGUCUCCUCCUAAAGAGUAACGGAGGAGCACGAAGGUUGGCUAAUCCUGGUCGGACAUCAGGAGGUUAGUGCAAUGGCAUAAGCCAGCUUGACUGCGAGCGUGACGGCGCGAGCAGGUGCGAAAGCAGGUCAUAGUGAUCCGGUGGUUCUGAAUGGAAGGGCCAUCGCUCAACGGAUAAAAGGUACUCCGGGGAUAACAGGCUGAUACCGCCCAAGAGUUCAUAUCGACGGCGGUGUUUGGCACCUCGAUGUCGGCUCAUCACAUCCUGGGGCUGAAGUAGGUCCCAAGGGUAUGGCUGUUCGCCAUUUAAAGUGGUACGCGAGCUGGGUUUAGAACGUCGUGAGACAGUUCGGUCCCUAUCUGCCGUGGGCGCUGGAGAACUGAGGGGGGCUGCUCCUAGUACGAGAGGACCGGAGUGGACGCAUCACUGGUGUUCGGGUUGUCAUGCCAAUGGCACUGCCCGGUAGCUAAAUGCGGAAGAGAUAAGUGCUGAAAGCAUCUAAGCACGAAACUUGCCCCGAGAUGAGUUCUCCCUGACUCCUUGAGAGUCCUGAAGGAACGUUGAAGACGACGACGUUGAUAGGCCGGGUGUGUAAGCGA